rnacentral:tRNA from 4 species
GUAAAUAUAGUUUAGUAAAAACAUUAGAUUGUGAAUCUAAAAAUAGAAGCAUAAAUUUCUUAUUUACC